rnacentral:ncRNA from 1 species
UAUUAGUCAUAUGACUGACGGAAGUGGGAUAACCACGUGGAGUAUGACAAAAAAUAGCCGACCGUCUGGGCAAUAAGC